UUGCCCAGGAGUGGGAGUUUGAGUUGCGUUGUAUUUUUUUUUUUUAACAGUCAUAAUGAUAACAAUUCCACCUAAAUAUUUUCGAAUUCUUGGCUACGUUUACGGCUAUUUUGGGGCAAUAUGCACUUUUUUCGAUGUUGUGGAUAGAAUAUAUUACAAUUAUAAAGCUAACACGCACGACAUUUUAUAUUAUAUCUCACCAUCAAUAAGUUUCGUUAUUUUAAUUUUCUUUAUAAUUUUACUGGUUGGAAUUCGUAAGAACAAUCUUAUUCUGGUAAAAAUACAUCGAGCGUUUCAUCAUGUUAUAUAUCUGCUUGCUAUAGCAUGUUUAUUAUUUGGCACAAUAUAUGGUGUGUUGUUUAAGAUGCUAACGGAUGAAAAAGUAUCUAACGAUUUCAUACAGCUCCUUGCCACGGCACUUGUGAUGUUCAUAGGCAUCUAUCUUCUCUGCUUGUGGAUCAUCAAAGGAGUAAUUGGAGCUAUACAGCAUGAAGAGAGUUCAAAUGAAACAGUGUUUUAUCACUUAGAAGCUAGUAACAAGCAGGAGAUUUGAUCUUACAAAAA